UUGAACUUGUAACUACCGUUUUACUUUACCGACCAAUUUGUUCAAAACUUUAUUACAUUUGGAACUCAUAUGGCAUGGAGAAAUUACCCAGCAACACAGAAAGGAAGGAAAGCACUGAUGGAGGGGUCCAGAGAAAAGAGGCCUGACCUGACUCUGACCUUGGGCCUGUCAAAAUCUCUCAGGAUAAUCUGCCCCCCAGAGCUGUUGCAAAGGAAAGGAGAAGGAUGUAAGCCGCUUUGGAUUCCCGAUGGGGAGAAAGGCAGGGUUUAAAUUCAGUAAAGAAAGAAAGAAAUAGGCCUGGCUGGAGUACACCACCACUCAUCUGUGGGAGCACUGGGGAGGUGUGAACCUGCACCAGAGAAGGUACAGCCUGC